AGCGUCUGAAAGAAACCAAAGUACCUUCUAUUAGCUCCUAAGAGUAUUCCAGGGCUGCAGCUAUUAAUGCUAUUCUAGAGUAAUUGCCUGUUGUAGCAAUAUUGUAUUACCUAAUAAAUAAGUCUUCUUUUUAUAAAAAAUAAUGAAAAUAUAUACCAAUUUUAAUAAAGAUUUUUUUACUUAUUAAAGAAACUUAGGCAGGAAAUAUAUAUGCAAAGUUGGUGCAUGUAUGUGCCUAUGAUCUUUGAUUGCUGAGGGUAAAGCUUGAAUGAUCUGUAACACAGGCCAACACACAUUUUGGUGCUUCAAAUUUUGGACCUGUUUCUGGGUAUAUUUGACCUGCUGAUUCCAAAAAUGGCACUGGUUUUCCCCUACCACCUCUAGUUUUUGAGAUACAUAAUAUAUGUGUUAUGGUUGAGCCUUAUGGCUCCAAUACUGGGAGACGUGGUCGUAAGACUCCUCGAGAGUCAGACUCUAUUGAGGAGCGAGAGAGGAAACGGCUGCGGGACAUAUUUGCAGAAUCAACUGACGAAGACUCCUUUGAGGGUUUUACUGAGAGAAUGGAGGAAGAGGUGGUUAGCUCAGAGGAGGAUGACAUGGAAUGGACUCGUGUGAGGGAGGAUUUGGGUGUUCCUGGUAAUGAUAGCAUGGGAAACGACUGGCGGGUUGCAGGAUCGGACCCGUGGACAAGUUGGAGGGAUGGGACGGGAUCCACAGCUGGGGAUGCUGUGGGGCAUAGUCAAAGAUGUUUUAGCUCUGAUGAGGAUGAUGAUGAGGCACCUGGAAUUAGGGUAACACCUGAUAGCGAUGAGGAGUUGUAACUGGCAUAAAAUGGGGUCUUGAAUCCAGGGCUAAUUGCGUUGGGCAAGGUAAUCUGGACGAACGCUUGGGCUCUUGUUGGGAAUUUCCUGAAGACGGGUGUGUUUCGUUUGCUGACUACCUUGGACCUCCGUCGUCUUCUUGACGGACAUUAUUUACCUACUCGGAAUUGACGCUGGACUGGCUGACUGACUGACUGACUGACUGACUGACUGGCUGACUACGACCUUGGACUACCCUCUCUUUGGCUAUCGGAGGAUUUCGUGGAACCUAAGACGCCUGCACUUGGCCUUCGACCUCGGACCGGAUUGGGACCCCGCUGACCGCUGCAACCCUGAUUGAUGUGUUUGGACCCGGAGUUCGCCCGCUGCACGGAGGAGUAACAACUUAGUUGCUCAACCACAGCUGUUGAGUAGCAGAGAGGAAUCUGCUGCCAGUAUUUAUGUUCUAUUGAAUCUUUAUUUACCAGCUUUUGUUUGUUUAAAGUCCCAGGCUGAAGUAAGCAUUUUUAGUUUAACCCGGAUUAAACUCCUGUUUAAUCCGGUUUAGCUUUUGAACAGUUUUUGAGUGACUUUUCAUAUUGAAGGCGAGUGUUUGCCUAGCUCUUUGUUUUUUACGAGCAUUUUUGGUUCUGUAUCUUUAAUAAACUGUGUUGAAUCUUA